rnacentral:tRNA from 1 species
GGCCUCAUAGCACAGCUGGUGGAGCGUGAGCAUAUAAAGCGUAGGCCGCGUUCAUUCGUGGGUUCGAAUCCCACUGAGGCUA